rnacentral:tRNA from 1 species
GGUCUCAUGGUGUAACGGUUAGCACUCUGGACUCUGAAUCCAGCGAUCACGAGUUCAAAUCUCGGUGAGACCU